CCUCCAAGGGGUGAGUCUGAAGAUUUCAAUUAUGUGGAGGGACAAAAUGACAUUACUCAAGAAUAUUUGGGUCAAUUUGAUAUUUAUUAAGGAAAAAAUCAAUCUGUCAAGAAACUUCGAAUUCUAAUGCCAACUCAAUUCUGUAGUGGAGCAAUCAGUAACCAAAUAAACAAACAAAUCACAAGACAAGUUUGCAAGACAAAUUAUUCACAUUGGCUAUGGCUUACAUAGACAAUAAGCAAAAAUUUAUCCUACUGUUAAUUUUUUCAGCACUUUUACUAUCUUCUCCUGCAGUUCUUGCUAAACGUCGCCCAAUCUCUGAUGGAGAGAUCAGAGAGAAGAAACUCCAAUGUUAUGCAGAUAUUGAAAGUGGGUUGUGGGGUCAGAAGUGCAAGGCUACAACAGUAGACAAGGAGAAUUGUGCUCUAGAAUGCUUGUCACCAGUUUGUUAUGAGCGCGUUUAUCGGAGUGAUCCUUUGGAGGAAGGGGAAAAGGAUACUGUAAGGAGUCAAGAAUACAAGUACUGCAUGCACAAAAUUGUCCACUGCCUAGUGCACCAAGGUUAUUUAAAGGUUAAAGGUGGCAAUGUUGUUACAGUAACUUUAUAUGCUUGUCGAGGAGGAUAUAAUCACAACCAGGACUUCUAUUUAUGUAUAGAUAUCCAUGGUCAACAUGAGUUUUGAGGGUGGCCACCUCUGCAAAUGGCAGAAAUUGAAUGAUGAAGAUUGAUAACAGUUCUAAUUGCUGAGAACCUUUUAGGAUACAUGGUUACUGGUUAAGAGUUGGCAUUGGGAAAUGUGUUGGGGCUUAUUGUUGGUCAGUAUAUUUCUGUACCACGUUUCCAGUAAUUUGGUUCAGUUGCAAUUUCAUUUAGCUGAUUGAGUCCGAGUCUAUGUAACUAUAACAGUUCGUUGUGGCUGUAUUGUAGCCUGACUAGUACUAGAAUUACCCUUCGGACAAUAUUUAGCCAUAUGUCCUUUUUCACCACAAGUAAAACAAGCACCCACAAUACCAAAGCAACGACCACUGUGGUUCCUACCACAUGUAUAACAUCUCGGAUACUGUCCGAAUUGAAACAAACUGUUAUCCUUCUCCUGCGUGUGUUGUUGAUCUUGUCUUACCGGAAACGUACUCCCAGAGGACUGUAGCUCAGACUCUAAUUGAGUAAGCCUAAAUUGCCCAUGAUUAUAACCACUCUUGUCCCCAGAUGGAGCACCACUAAACUCGCCUAUACUACGAGCCUUUUUGUUUUCUCGUUGGACCCUGUCCCUUUUCUGAUAGGACUCAUAACGGAGAACAAUGUCAACUACCUUUGAAUAUGUGCCACCUCGCACAUCCCUAAGACCAUGAUAACAAUGUUCAAGUCCAUCCACAAACCGGCUCACCUUAUCGUGCUCAUCUGCAACCAAAAAGUGUGCAUACGUGGCUAACUCAGUAAAUUUAGCCUCAUACUCUGUAACUGUCAUAGUGCCCUGACGCAGUUUCUCAAACUGACAUCUCAUGUCGUCUCGUUUGCUUAGUGGAACAAACAUAUCCAUAAACAUGGCUGAAAACUCUGAUCAAGUAAAUGGUGGUAACCUUGCUUGUCUACCUCUCUGAAUCGAAGUCCACCGUGACUCAGCAUUCCCUGAAAAUAGAAAAGUGGCACACUCUACUUCACGAGUCUCCUUUAAUCCCAAUGUAGUCAAUAUCUUUUCACAACGCCGAAUGAACUUUUGAGGCUCAAUAGAAGUCGGGGUAGCAUCAAACUCCGGUGGCUCAAGAUCCUUGGACUGUCCUAUAGCCGCAACUUGCUGAACAACCUGUUGAGGGACCAUCUUUGGUGCCUGAGGAGCUGCAACAUUCAGAUGAACUUGUAUUUGUGUCUGUGAAGCAGUUUGAGAAACUGGAAGUCCACCCUAUGUAGGCACUAAUGCCUCUAGCACUUUAAACAACCUCGCCACUACGUUUGCAGGUGGGGUAACAAUAGGCACAACAACUGGCACUGGUGGUGGAGCAUCCGAAACCACUUGUUCUUGCACUUGCUCUGGCAUAACAGCUUGGGCUUGACCCAUGUUCACAACUUCAGACUGAGGAGCGCUCUGUGUCCUGGUUUGAAAUCUAGUCUGGUGAAUCCUAGUUUGACCACUACCGCGGGUAGUAUCACUUCCAGCAAAUGCAUUUGAUCGACUAAUAGAGGAGGAUGCGCGUUUCCUAGCCAUCUGCGAAAGAAAUAUUUAAAAGUCAAUCUCGAGUCAUCUCAACGCACGAUUAAGGAAUGAAAGAGGGGAAAACAUCCUAAAUGUUUAGUAGCCUCAAAAUCAUAAGUAUAGGCGCCUACAUACCCAUGAACAAGACUCUACUAAAUACUGCUCCAUGACCCGAGACUUAAAGUCUAAGCUCUGAUACCAACUUUGUCACGUCUCAAACUAUCCCCUAGACGUGACUGGCACCCAGCUAACACCACCCGCCAGGCAAACUAAUUCAUGUACUUUUAACCUUUUAUAUAAGCAUUGAGAGAAACACGCACAAGUCCAAACCAAAAAAAUAAUUCUAAAUACGAAAUAAUUAUCCAACUAAAAUUAUAAUCUAUUUAUAAAAUUUAAUGAACACUCAAGUAAUAAAUCUCUACCCCAAAUUCCAUACUAAGACCAUGGAGCAUCUAAUAGAGUUAUAUGAGUUUGAUUGUCGGACAUGUAAACCCCAAAAGAUAAGGAAAAAAAAGACAUGAAAUAGGUAAAGCUGAAAAAUGGCCUCCACGAACAAUGUGACGGCUCACCUCAGCAUAGAAUCUGCUCACGCACUCUUCAGCCACUAGUCUCGUCCUCAGCAAUAGUAUCUGCAUGGACAUGCAUAUAAGGAGUGAGUUAUACGUAAAUAUAACCCAGUAAGAUCCUCGACCCGCCACUUUAAAAUACUCCUGGAACAAGUGUUAGAAAAUACAAACACACAACGAACACAGAAAUAAUAUGCACAUAAAUUCUUUCAUCAUAUAAUUACUCCAUAAAGUCCAAACCAUUAUUCAACAACAACACUAUAUAUCUCAAUACAAUCUAUACUAAGGACUUGUCAUAAACGGCAGCGAAAAAGAUUAACCAAACACCCCAACGAGUCCACGGCAUCAUACACAAUUCCCCAAAUCUACCACAGUGGCAUGCAAAAUGCCCUAAAUAUAUUACGACAACGAAGAAAUAAUUUCUAACGCCCCAACGCCAUAGCACGAGGCUACACCAUACCACAAAUCACUUAUUAAAUAAUUUUAGCUUUUUCACAAAUAAUAUAUAUAUGUUGCUGGUCAAAAACCAUCGAUUCUGCCAAGCACACGCUCGUCCCAAAACUUGAACCAGACAAACAAAACAUACUUUCAAAACGGGUUUGAAAAGCAAGCAUCAAAAGUUUAAAGUCUUACUUACCUCGCUAACGAGACGUUCCCAACCUUGCAACGUCUAGAACACCAAUCAAAUAGCCUCUAAUGGCCUCAAUCUAUCCAAAAUAUUGAAUAGCAUGUACUAAUUAGUUUAGGAGAAUAAUUUUCAUAAUUUUAGGACAAGUCAAAAAUCAAAGUCAGCCCUCGGUCUAAUUAAUGAAAAUAUAUGUACCACAAUAAAUAUCCGACACGUCACUUUCAGCCUUGGAGAAUUGUCAAAAUAGUAGCUUCAGAUAUAUACCUAAAAGUUUCGAAACAUUAAUUUCUCGUGCAAUUUGAUACUACCUAUGGUAGUGGUCAAACUAGGGUUCACUAGACUAGAUUUCAAACCAGGACACAGGGCGCUCCUCAGCCUGAAGUUAUGAACAUGGGUCAAGCCCAAGCUGCUAUGCUAGAGCAAGUGCAAGAACAGGUGGUUCCAGACGCUCCACCUCCACCAAUGCCAGUUGUUGUGCCUACUGUUACCCUACCUGCAAAUGCAGUAGCGAGGUUGUUGAAUAUGCUAGAGGCAUUAGUUCCUCCUCAUGGUGGACCUCCAGUUUUUCAAACUGCUUCACAGACACAAAUACAAGUUCAUCUGAAUGUUGCAGCUCCUCAGGCACUUGAGAUGGUCCCUCAAUAGGUUGUUCAGCCAGUUGCAGCUAUAGGGCAGUCCAAGGAUCUAAAGAAUUUCAUGAAUCUUAAGCCACCAGAGUUUGAUGCUACCCCAACUUUUAUUGAGCCUUAAAAGUUCAUUCAGCGUUGUGAAAAAAUAUUGACUAUAUUGGGACUGAAGGAGAUUCGUGGAGUAGAGUUUGCAAUUUUUUCUAUUUUCAGGGAAUGCUGAAUUAUGGUGGACUUCGAUUCAGAGAGGUAGACAGGCAGGGUUACCACCAAUCACUUGAUCAGAUUUUUCAGCCAUGUUUAUGGAUAUGUUUGUUCCACUAAGCAAACGAGACGUCAGUUUGAGCGACUGUGUCAGGGUACUAUGACAAUUACAGAGUAUGAUGUUAAGUUUACUGAGUUAGCGACGUACACACACUUUUUGGUUGCAGAUGAGCACGAGAAGGUGAGAUAGUUUGUGGAUGGACUUGAGCAUUGUUAUCGUGGUCAUGUGGUUAGGGAUGUGCGAGGUGACACAUAUUGAGAGGUAGUUGACACUGCUCUCCGUUAUGAGUCCUAACAGAAGAGGGAUAGGGUCGAGCGAGAAAAAAAAAGGCCUGUAGUACGAGUUUAGUGGUGCUCCAUCUGGGGCCAAGAGUGGUUAUAAUCGUGGGCAAUUUAGGCUUACUCAAUCAGAGUCUGUGCUAUAGUCCUUUGGGAGUACGUUUCCGGUGAGACAAGGUCAGCAACAGACGCAGGAGAAUGAUAACGGUUUGUUUCAGUUCGGACUGUUUCCAAGCUGUUAUACAUGUGGUAGGAACCACAAUGGUCGUUGCUUUUGUAUUGCUGCUUAUUUUACUUGUGGUGAAAUAAGGCUUAUCGCUAAAUAUUAUCCGAAGGGUAAUUCUAAUACUAGUGUGGCUACUAUACAGCCAUAAGGAACUGUUAUAGUUUCUUAGACUUAAUCAGCUAGAGCCGCUCCAUAGGGUGCCCGUGGACAUAAUAGACAAGGUGCUCAGGGGGUGGGUGGACCGCCGAGAUUCUUUGCAAUGAACAGACAGGACGCUGAGGCAUCUAAUGUGGUAGUCACAGGCAUUCCCUUGGGCAGAGCUUGGAUGAUAUUAAAGGUUCCUUCGAGUGGUAAACGGCAAAUCUGCUAGCAUUGCCUGUGUAUUCCUGCAUCUUUUUUCCAUUAACAACUUCAUGCUGUAUGUAUGGUGUGUGUCGUGUGGAUGCUCAUUGAUUUAUACUAACGAAGUACUCCUUUCAGAUAGAGUAAGGUUUUGUUCUCCAUUUCCUUGGGUUGGGAACAAUUACGUUGUUUUUCAAUUCCCUUUCUGUGCAUGACAGUGCGAGUAAUAUGCUUAAUUUUUUCUUUUUAAUUCAA